AUGUUUCAUGCUAUGAUACUAACAUCCCUCUUGACCCCACAACUGCCCAAGAACCUCCUGCAAUUGUUGAUCCUCGGCCUCCUCAUUAACCCUCUUGUGAAUGUAAGUCUACUCAAUUGCCUGAUUUUGUCUAUUCCACUUACUCGGCUUCUUUUUCUAACCUUUAUCCACAGUUUGUCUAAUCCUUCUUCCUAUAAAGAGGAUAUUCUUGACCCUCUUUGGCAGUAG